GCUGGAACAACCCAUGGCACCAACUCUGUGAGGAGCACUACCCAGUAAUGGCAAGCACCCGGCAGACGUGACUUGGAACCUCUGCUAGUAUGUCCCCAAACCUAAGUUUAAAAGGCUGUGUCCGAGUUCCUACAUAGAAACUGUACUGAGAGAAAUCACAAGUAGACAGAGAAGCAGGC